rnacentral:rRNA from 1 species
CAGUCGCCGCGGUAAUACGGAGGGUGCAAGCGUUAAUCGGAAUUACUGGGCGUAAAGCGUGCGUAGGCGGUUCGUUAAGUCUGUUGUGAAAGCCCCGGGCUCAACCUGGGAAUGGCAAUGGAUACUGGCGAGCUAGAGUGUGUCAGAGGAUGGUGGAAUUCCCGGUGUAGCGGUGAAAUGCGUAGAGAUCUGGAGGAAUACCGGUGGCGAAGGCGGCCCCCUGGACAAAGACUGACGCUCAGGUGCGAAAGCGUGGGGAGCAAACAGGAUUAGAUACCCCAGUAGUCCCUGUCUCUUAUAC